rnacentral:lncRNA from 1 species
GCCGUCUGCGCUGUGUUCUGAGUGUGGACAGGACUGGGCUCUGACAUGUGUGCUUUCUCCCAGGGCUUUGAAUCUGUUCUUAGUCUACUCUGAGGAUGGCUUUUUGCCUCUCCCUACUCCUGUACUCCGUGGUCCUUCCUUCCCUGUGGACAGUUGCUUCUCACUCAGCUGGCCUGAGAACCAGAGACCCUGCCUGGUUCUGGUUGUAAAUGACAGGAGUCUUUCUAUGGGAAACCUGUACUUUAGUUUUGACGCUGGAGCCGGCCAGAGGGGUGCUUGCCGCUUUGGCUGCUCAGCUGUGGUCCUGCACAGAGAGCUGCAGAGGGCAGCCUCCAGCCUGGCCUGCCCGUAGCCUUUGUUUACAGACUGGCUGGAGCUGCUC